GGGCACGAGGGCAGCUGUCCUCCCAUGAACAGCAAGUGUAGAUUAAGAUGAUUAGACUUGCCAGGCAGAUAUCCUCCCCCAGCUUCCCCAGGAUUCUCCCAAAUCAGUAUCGACGGCUGGAAUAAAUGACCUUUUAGGAAGAGAAGGGCUAUUCUUCCAUCAAAAGAUUAUGAGUAGCUGCAUUCCCCCGUUAGAACUUUGCAUCAAAUUUAUUCCAGAUAGUGAAAGCUUUUAAGUGGAAAGUCCCAGAGAUCAAGGCCCAACAGAAAGUGAAUGCCCAUGACU
rnacentral:sRNA from 1 species